GUAUUUUCUUUUUUGCUUGAGAAAAAUAUUAUCUUUCUAUAGAUGUAGGUAACCCUAAUAGUUCAUCUUCUUCUUUUCUUCUUUCUUCUUCUUAACUGGUCAACGAGUCUUCUAAACUAGCCGCCACUGCCACCAUGAAACAAGCCCUUGGAAUGAAUUUUUUCUUGAGAAAGAAGAAUAUAUUGGAAUCAUCGUAGUCUAAUUGUGCAAGAGUCGGAAAUAACUCAAAAAAUUGAUGCCAGAUCCAGAGCACAAGGAUGAGGAUGGAAUUAAAUAUCAUAUUACAUUUCUCAAAUAUCAGAUUUCUCUUGGAAUUCAGUUCGUUAUUCGGAUUCAAUUGUGAAUUUCUUCUAAUCCAAAAUUUUGAUUUGUGUACAUGGGAUUUUUUCUUACAGGUAAGCAAGGCGACUAAUCUUUAAAUAAGGAAAAAGAUGGUUGAUCGUUUUCCAGAAGUCAAAUAACACCAAAAGCCAAAACGCUCCAUUGAUUGAAGAAAUCAAUCUAAAUCUAAAAUGUAUGAAUUUUGGUUGUACAGUGUGUAUUUGUAAAAAAAAAAAAAAAUUGGUUUGAAUUGUGUAAUUUUUUCUUCUGGAAAUAACAAAAUUUUUACUUAUUCA